AGGACAAUGAUGAGGACAAUGACGACGAGGACGAGGACGACAAUGACAGGAGCGCUUUCUAUGUUCUGGAUACUGAUGCUUUGUGAGUGGGGGGAUUCGAGCAACGUUUCCAAGUGGAGAUGCUUGUGCCACAAGGAUGUGCGCUGCCCACCGAAGGAGGCCUUUCACCUUCACGACUCAGAGGCCCAAAGACUUUGAGCUUCUCACUAAGACAGCGACAGUAAAGAAAGGUCCUUUCCUUGACCUGAGCUUGGACCUCAGCCCAUGGUGGUCCUGUUCUGGAUUUAGGGUUGACAAUGACGUCAGAGCAAAGAGGGUGAGAGUCUGUGAAGGACAAAUGCAGGUG